rnacentral:rRNA from 1 species
GACGAACGCUGGCGGCGUGCCUAGUACAUGCAAGUAGAACGCUGAAGCUUGGUGCUUGCACCGAGCGGAUGAGUUGCGAACGGGUGAGUAACGCGUAGGUAACCUGCCUGGUAGCGGGGGAUAACUAUUGGAAACGAUAGCUAAUACCGCAUAAGAGUAGAUGUUGCAUGACAUUUGCUUAAAAGGUGCAAUUGCAUCACUACCAGAUGGACCUGCGUUGUAUUAGCUAGUUGGUGAGGUAACGGCUCACCAAGGCAACGAUACAUAGCCGACCUGAGAGGGUGAUCGGCCACACUGGGACUGAGACACGGCCCAGACUCCUACGGGAGGCAGCAGUAGGGAAUCUUCGGCAAUGGACGGAAGUCUGACCGAGCAACGCCGCGUGAGUGAAGAAGGUUUUCGGAUCGUAAAGCUCGGUUGUAAGAGAAGAACGAGUGUGAGAGUGGAAAGUUCACACUGUGACGGUAGCUUACCAGAAAGGGACGGCUAACUACGUG